rnacentral:rRNA from 1 species
UACGUAGGGGGCGAGCGUUGUCCGGAUUCAUUGGGCGUAAAGCGCACGUAGGCGGAUUUCUAAGUCAGGGGUGAAAUCCUGGAGCUCAACUCCAGAACUGCCUUUGAUACUGGACGAUCGUGAGUCCGGGAGAGGUGAGUGGAACUGCGAGUGUAGAGGUGAAAUUCGUAGAUAUUCGCAAGAACACCAGUGGCGAAGGCGGCUCACUGGCCCGGUACUGACGCUGAGUGCGAAAGCGUGGGGAGCAAACA